rnacentral:rRNA from 1 species
GAUGAACGCUGACAGAAUGCUUAACACAUGCAAGUCUACCAAGAAUCACUUCGGUGAGGAAUGGUGGCGGACGGGUGAGUAACGCGUAAAUAAUCUGCCCUUUAGACUGGGAUAUCCUUUGGAAACGAAGGUUAAUACCGGCUAUUAUGAGAUGGACGCAUGUUCAACUUAUGAAAGCUAAAUGCACUAGAGGAGGAGUUUGCGUCCCAUUAGCUAGUUGGUGAGGUAAAGGCUCACCAAGGCCAAGAUGGGUAGCCGGCCUGAGAGGGUUAACGGCCACAAGGGAACUGAGGCACGGUCCGUACUCCUACGGGAGGCAGCAGUGGGGAAUAUUGGACAAUGGACCAAAAGUCUGAUCCAGCAAUUCUGUGUGCACGAUGAAGGUCUUCGGAUUGUAAAGUGCUUUCAGUAGGGAAGAAUAAAAUGCCGGUACCUACAGGAGAAGCGACGGCUAAAUAUUUGCCAGCAACCGCGGUAA